rnacentral:rRNA from 1 species
CUACGGGCGGCACCAGUGGGGAAUAUUGGACAAUGGGGGAAACCCUGAUCCAGCAAUGCCGCGUGUGUGAAGAAGGCCUGCGGGUUGUAAAGCACUUUCGGUUGGGAGGACUGCUUCUAGCACUAAUAUUGUUGGAAGUUGACGUUACCUUCAGAAGAAGCACCGGCUAACUCCGUGCCAGCAGCCGCGGGUAAUACGGAGGGUGCAAGCGUUAAUCGGAAUUACUGGGCGUAAAGCGCGCGUAGGCGGCUAGAUCAGUCGGGUGUGAAAGCCCCGGGCUUAACCUGGGAACUGCAUCCGAUACUGUCUAGCUUGAGUACAGGAGAGGAGAGUGGAAUUCCACAUGUAGCGGUGAAAUGCGUAGAUAUGUGGAGGAACACCAAUGGCGAAGGCAGCUCUCUGGCCUGAUACUGACGCUGAGGUGCGAAAGCGUGGGGAUCAAACAGGAUUAGAUACCCGCGUAGUC